GCUGAAGACUGUAUGUGACAGAGAACGAGGGAGGGGGAGGUAACGAAGAACCGAGACACACUGAGCCAGUGUAGCAGGAAUCGGCAAAGAGAUGCCGAGGGUCUUUCCAUGAAAGCGUAAACGUGCUCACGCACGCAUGGGUGAUGAAAGGUUUUUCAGAUGAGCCCAUAUUUUGAGUGACCUGAGAGAAGAGGAGAACAAUUUUCUUGCAUCUCUGUCUGUUUCAUGAGCAGCCAUGCCUGUUCUCUCACCUACCACAGGUUUACAUGAGAUGCUAGCCCUCCUCACUUCCCAGCUUCAUCCAGAUGCUAAUCAUAAAGAGGACAUGGUUUUCCUCAGGGAGGUCUUCAGUGAGAGGAGCCUCAGCUAUCUUAUGAAAAUCCAUGAACGACUCAGGCAGUUCCAGCUCCAGAGCCCGACCCCAGUGCUCCACAGCGCAUCCUGCCUUGCCGAAGAUGUCACAGAGGAGCUACAGAACGGACCACUGGAAGAAGAUGAGAGAGAACUAUUAACACUUCUUACUGCUCCACAUGUGAAGGCAGUUCUAACAGUACAUGACAUAGUGGCGCAGAAGAACUUUGAGCCUGUGCUCCCCCCUUUGCCGGAUGAUCUAGAUGAUGAGCUAGAGGAGGAAUCAGUGAAGAUUGUGCGUUUGGUGAAGAACAAGGAGCCUCUUGGUGCAACCAUCCGCAGAGAUGAAGUAACUGGGGCGGUAGUGGUUGCUAGGAUAAUGAGGGGCGGGGCAGCAGACCGCAGUGGUCUGGUACAUGUUGGAGAUGAGUUGAGGGAGGUCAAUGGAAAUCUAAUUAUACACAAACGUCCUGAGGAGAUCAGCCAGAUUCUGUCUCAGUCUCAGGGCUCGAUCACUUUGAAGAUAAUCCCUGCCAUUAAGGAGGAGGAUAGAUUCAAGGAGAGUAAGGUCUAUUUAAGAGCCCUGUUUGAUUACACACCAUUUGAAGACAAGGCUACACCCUGUCAGGAGGCAGGACUGCCUUUCACACGUGGGGACAUCCUGCAGGUAGUAAGCCAAGAUGACCCAACAUGGUGGCAGGCCAAAAGAGUGGGAGAUAGCAACCUGCGUGCUGGACUCAUUCCUUCAAGACAGUUCCAGGAGAGACGACUAUUGUAUAGGAUGAAAAUGGGGACGAACCAGAGCCCUAAGUCACCCAGAGCAUCACCAUGUGACCAAACUUGUGAAAAAGAGGACUGUGACAGUGAGGGCAGUGUCAGUGGACAGCACAUAGUUUCUCCAAAGUGUAAGGCGGUGGCACCGUCCUGUGGUCAGGCCUUUUCCUGGGAGUUUUACUCAGCUGGUCUAAGGAGAAGCUUCAGACUAAGUCGCAAGGAUCAUCAGGGUUCGACCAAAGAGUCUCGUCCAGCGGAGUCCACAGAGAGUGAGUUUUUCAUAUAUGAAGAGGUGACACUAUAUCAGAUGAGACCCCAAGACAAACCAAGACUUGUGGUGCUGAUAGGAUCUCUUGGUGCUCGAAUCAAUGAGCUGAAGCAGAAGGUGAUUGCUGAGAAUCCUCAUCGGUACGGUGUUGCUGUGCCACACACAACAAGACCCAGGAAGAGCCAUGAGAAGGAAGGUGUAGAAUACCACUUCAUCUCCAAGCAAGCCUUUGAGGCUGACAUCCAAUCGAAUAAGUUUAUUGAACAUGGUGAAUAUAAGAAUAACCAAUAUGGGACAAGUCUGGAGUCAAUCCGGAGUGUCCUGGCGAGAAGUAAAGUGUGCCUAGUAGAUGUUCAACCUGAGGCUCUGAAAAUUCUCCGUACAGCAGAGUUUAAGCCCUAUGUGAUUUUUAUAAGGCCACGCAUCCCUGAGAUUUGUCGGCAACGUAGCUCUCCCACAUCACCAGGAAGGGGUGACAAUGGACACAUCACAGAUGAAGACCUGCAGGACAUGAGACACUCUGCCGAGCAGAUGGACCAGCAAUAUGGCCACCUAGUGGACAGGGUACUGGUAAAGGAAGACUCUGCCAGUGCCUGUGUAGAGCUGAGGAAUAUUCUGGAACGACUCGAGAGAGAGCCGCAGUGGGUGCCUGUCAGCUGGGUCCGCUCUUGAUCCUCCCUCCUUCCUUAAAUUCAAAUGCUCACAUAUGGUUUAAUGAAAACAUGUAUUGAACCUCUCUGCCUCUUUCUCACUCUGCUGCCAGUUUCCGUUUCAUCCUGUUCGACUGAAGUAAUACAAAAGCAAAAUACAAAUGUCAGCUGACUUGUUGAAACUGGGUCUGUUGUACUGCAAUAGUGUUGAAGAUUUCUGUUCAAAAGACUUUGCAUGAAAGUAGCAUUGACAAGAAGAAAUGUAUCAUUAAUAGCUGAAAGAAUUAGUUUUCUGUGGAAAAAAAUGGUUGUCCUUAGUUCUGUCGAGUGAGCUGCAAAAAAAAAAAAAACAUCAGAUGAGGAAAGGAUCACUUGAAUGAGAGGACAAACACUGACUCAGGUUCCCUUUCAGUCGGUCACAUGCGACGUUACAAAUGGGAUCUCGCCCGAGAGCCCAAUCACCUUCGAGUGGUACAAAGGUAUAUAGCGGGUAUAAAAGGAGCAGCCCGAGCAACUCGCAAUUUCGCUUCGGAGCCAAGCACAUCGCUUGCUGCUUUCACCCGUGUGUUUCAAGCAAGAGUCACUGGUGUUGGUGUGACGGCACGAUUCAGCGGCUCGUCUGGGUUUCCUGCGACAGCUCCCGCAUUCCCCUGAGUGCUUCAACACCUCUGAAAGAGCUACUUCCUUUCACAAAAGAGUACAGGCUGAUUUGCGUCUUUUUAAAGAUGUCAUUUCGCCCGUGUGUUUCUGGGUGCGGUCGAUACAUCGCUCCUCGUGAUGGCCACGAUUGCUGUACUGCAUUUAUGGAUGGCUCAUGUUCUCAUUGCGGGGACAUGACCAUCUCGGCAUUCAGAUUGAGACUCAGUUACCUUAAAAGGUAUAGAGUCCCCUCUGCCACACCCUGUUCUAGCUCUUCUUCUCGUAAGAGGGCUACUUCGGCUGGUGGCCAGGGUGAUCUGAGGGUUACCGUGUGUGCUUCCCCGACGAGCCAACCUCCUCAGGCCACACCCCCCUCACAUACGGCACAGCCGGUUGAGUUUCCGGAUGAGUUUGCUGGACCCUCUCAGGCUCAUGACAUCUCAUUUGGGGCUCGUGAAGAGGACCGUAAGUCGAUCGCCGCAUCACAAGGCGGGCUUGAGUCCUCAGCAGAUGAG